UUCUAUGAUUUUUUUGCGAUAAUUGCAUUUACUAUCCUUCUUUGACGUGUAAUUGUAAUGUAGUGUGCUAUUGCAAUGUUAAAUUAUUCAUGUGUGCGGUACCGGUAGUGUAUCAAUUACAAACACCGAAUGUUGUCUAGAUUAUAGUGAUUAACACCGAUUUAAGUUGAGACUUUUGUAGUUUUUGAUUGUGUUUAUUCCGGGAGAAUUAUAUUCGUACCUGUAUAUAAUUACGGCAUUUGCCGAAGAAAAGCGCUUUUGCAAAUCGAAUGACAAUGAGUUCUUGGCUUUAAUGAUUUACUAGUACGACAUUUAUGGCUUUGGGAAAGAAAUCGUGCAUGCUGUUAGUUAUUAGGUGAUUCUGGAUAUGUACAAUGCACUUGGAUGACACCUGUUUUAAUUGCUGCUCCAAGUUCAUCAGAAGAAUAUUACACUCAACUUCAAUACCAUGGUCAAAAAUACUGUGUGAGCAUCAGAGUUCGUGAGGCCUGUUGUUACACAGGGUAAUUUUCUAUGACACAGUAAAAGCUGGGAAAAUAGUGAACAAUAUGCAAUAAUUUGAAUAUAUUUUAUUUAUGUAAUAAUAGAGUAAUAUUAUUAUUAACUGUAUUAUUAACUGUAUCAUCUUAACAUUAUCAAGAACAUCUCAAUAUGUUCUUGAUAAUGUUGUGUAUAUUGUGCAUGUAAGGGAACUAGCUAGAAACUAAUAAUCAUAAUGUAACAGCAGGAAGAAACAAACUUUUUAUGCCUACUACCAAAUAAGUCGAGUCAGUAAGUCUUUUGUUGGGCAAUGUUGUUCUUAGAGCUAACAAAUAAUGUUUAUAAUGUAAGAAUCAUUAUUUGUUAAUUAUAUGACAUAAAUCCCAAAAAUGUUACUAUAGCAUUUUAUUUAUAACAUAAUAUUGUAACAAUAAAAUUAUAAACAUAUAAUUUACAUUAGUUUGUUAUGUCAAAGGCCGAAAGAUAGUAAAUGAAGCUGACAUGUACUGUAAAACGGGGUCAAUGGGGACGAAACAAGAUUUUAGAUGACAUUUUCUCUGAUUUCUUUCUAUAAAACCUAUAUUAUUUAUAUUUAAAAACUUGUGUUAAAACUAUCUCUAUAAGAUAAAAUGUAGAAAGAACUUAUAAAAUUUACGAAUUACUCAUGAUAGCUUAAAAUGUUGCCCAUCCCUAUUUAAACUCUUAGAGGGGUUAAUAGGGAUCAGCUAUGGGACAAUAGAAAAAAACAGUCGGGUUGUCACAGAGCAAGGUCAAAUAUUACCAUUAUUUUGCAGUCGGGUAAAAUUAAAAAAAUUAAGGUUAAAUAAUACAAAUGAAUUCAAAAAUAUAAAAUCACUGUAAUAAUCAACAUUAUAGAAGUAUUAAAAUCUUUUUAUAAUCAACAUACUAUACUUAAAGUAUUAUAAUUAACAUAUUAAUUAUUAUAUUAAGUAUAAAUAAGAGGCCAGGUUAUCACCUAUAAAAAUUUUAGAUCCAAUUUUAUCACUGAAAUACGGCAUUGCAAUAGUUGAAACCCAGUCCUGGAAAAUAUUACCAUCGAACCAGCCGGAAGGUGUGCAGUUGUACCUACAAUAUUUAGGUCCAUUUUGCCGCCACAUAUUGUACAUAUUUUGUAAUUUAUAUACAACAUAUGGGAGUAGAAGAGUGCCGUCGGCUGCAGAAGUCAUAAGAGAUGUGGAACCCUUUGUAUGGUUCAUUACCCUUUCAGGGUAUUUGACUGUUCUCUUAACCAGCACUCUGACGUCCUGGGUCAUCGCUGAGUUUGGUCUCAUCGUAAUUAACAAUGUUAGCUGGUGGUGUGCCUCGAAGAGACGUUUCAAGUUUUCUAAAAUAUUCAUCGAUGGUUCCUGGUGAAACGGCUGCUCUUGCUCUCUUUGUAUUAUGACAAAUUUUAUUUUAAUGAGUCUUUUGCUAAUUUUAUUUUUAUGCCUUUUAAGAAAACAUGACAUAAAAUCAGGACCUGGCAAAUUAUUUUUGAACCUUUUGAUAUCAACUCCCAUUUUAUCCAGGUUUCCUUUUAUCAGCAAUCUAAAAUCAAUGGGUUCUAGAGGAUAUCCUCAUUCUGAACAUACAUUUACGUACUCUACUAAGUACGCUUCUUCAGCCCGGCUUAGGGCAGUUUGGCCUCCUUGUCUUUUCAUGACACGGGUGUUGUGUCAAUGCAGGACUGAUUUCGGUAUAUCGUAUUUCCGUGAAACAUCUUUAAAGGAAAGGUUAGAGCUAUUGUACUCGUGUAGUGCCAUUUCUAUUACAGAAUCGUCAUAUUUUUUAUAAUUUGUGUUUCGACUAGUUUGGUAAUCACGCGGCGUUGUCCAAAAAUAGAUGUUAUCUGAAAAAAGAAAGAGAUUUAAUGAUAGAAUUGCACUUAUUUCUUAUUAUUGUUCAACAAAUAUAAACUCGUUUGUCUACCUAUUGCAUUAAAAAUAUAUUAUAACUAACCAAAUUCACAUGGAAUCACAAUAGUACCAUCAAACUUAUCUGGUGGUUAAGUCGGAAGGUGGGCAUAGGAACUUCUUAAUGGAACCAUGUAACUAUCCAAGCUGAGCUUGUGCUUAUUAGAAUUAUCAUAACACAUGCUCUUCCUAUAUAUCCACAUCUUAAGUAACGAUUUCUUUGAAUUGUAAAGGUGUUGUACCCCCUCAUAAUUACUACUCGUCAUAAUUUAUUUUUUACCUUUUAGUUAUCAUGUAUUAAUAAUCUUUGCAUGUUUAAAGCCGAUAUUUAAUUUUGUAACUAUUUAUAUGAUAAAAAACAAGAACAUUGUGGUGACAACCCUGUCCCUAUUGACCCUUCUACAUUCCCAUUGAGUCACUAAGCUCGUCACUAUUAACCAAAAAUGGCGUCCCUUUAUGACUUACUAACCAUACACCCCAUUCGGCGUUCCUAUUCACCUCAAAUUUCUAUAAAAAGUAUCUCCACCCACUUUUAACCGUUAAAUUUACAAAUAAGCGCUUAAAUUGUACUCACCCUUUAUGUAAUCAAAGUAAUGUGAACACUUCGCAUAUCACAAUAAAAGCAAUUUUUACUUGCGACGAACAAAUAUAAAAUUAUAACACUGUUGUUUUAGAUUGAAAAGUAUUGUAAACACUCUUGCUAUAAACAUUAGAGCUAUUUUGACUUGCGAUGAGACGAAGAUAAAUAACAUUUUGGUUAAAACAACACUGUCAUUAAUUAUAUUUCCAAUGAGAAUCAUUAUUUGCAAUUUUUUAAAUUGACAAACUGCUAGUUGUGUUUUGAAAAUUAUUAUUAUCAUUUUGAAGUAAAAUGUUUUUAAAAAGUAUAGUAUGAAUAGCAAAUUAAAUGGAUAUGUGAAAUAUAUAAUACGUCUUGAGUUAUUUUUUUUAUGUAAUGUAGGUAUGUAUAGACAAGACUGUGUUAGUGUAAAAAUAAAAGUUUUGUGAAUAGUGUAAAUAUACGUUUAGUUAAUACUUUCUUUAACUCAUUAGUCGAUAAGAUUGUUUUGUGUAGGUACCUACACAGGUAAGAAAAAGCUUUCUAAAAAGCACAACAAAAAAUACCAUCUACCUAUCUAAAAUUUAUAACAUCUAAUAUAUAUUAUAACAGUUUACAACAACAGUUAGGAAAAUAUAACACAACAGUAUAAUUCAUUGAAAAAUUAUAACAGUUUAGGCCACCUCUAGAAAUAACUAAUAUACCGUAAUAAAACUGAACUAGCUCAAAUAGUUCUAAAAAAAUAUAUUUAUCUCGAAAGUUUAGAACCACAAAAAAACACCGGUAACAGAGCAACAACUUCAGUAGUGAAUUUUACGCCGAAUUGCUUGACUUCAUCUUAAACAAAUGCUGCCAGCCUAGAGAGUACAUAUUCUACUACGAUUUUCUUCCAAAAAGUAUGUAGUAAUCUAUGGUAAGCAAAUUAAUUUCUCGUGUCAGGUUCAAAUUUGAUUUUAUCCCUAUUCGCCCCUGGAUCCCUAAUCACCCCGUUUUACGGUGCUGAAUAAUAUACCAUUUUUCACAAUUUAAUUUUUCUAUUUUUAAUUGAAAAUGGUUUUUUAUUGUGUGUGGUGUUAAAUUCUUAUCAAUAUUAGUUUGUUUACCAAGUAUUCUAUAUUUUGUUAAAAUUAAAACAUUAUAUAAAAAUAAAGCAUU